rnacentral:rRNA from 1 species
CCUACGGGGGGCGGCAGUGAGGAAUAUUGGGCAAUGGACGAAAGUCUGACCCAGCAACGCCGCGUGGAGGAUGAAGGCCGUAAGGUUGUAAACUCCUUUUGAAGGGGACGAAAAACCAAAUUUCGUAAGGUAUUUGGAUUGACUGUACCCUUAGAAGAAGCCCCGGCUAACUACGUGCCAGCAGCCCCGGUCA